UACGUAGGGUGCGAGCGUUGUCCGGAAUUAUUGGGCGUAAAGAGCUCGUAGGCGGAUUGUUAAGUCGGGGGUGAAAUCCUGGAGCUCAACUCCAGAACUGCCUUCGAUACUGGCGAUCUUGAGUCCGGGAGAGGUGAGUGGAACUCCGAGUGUAAGAGGUGAAAUUCGUAGAUAUUCGGAAGAACACCAGUGGCGAAGGCGGCUCACUGGCCCGGUACUGACGCUGAGGUGCGAAAGCGUGGGGAGCAAACAGGG
rnacentral:rRNA from 1 species